CAUCAUAAUAUUCUGCAAGUAAAUCAACUCAUCCAACUCAAACCAAAGCUUUUUAUAAAAAGGAAGUAACACAUUCCUAAUCAAUACUCUGGUAAAGUGAUUGAUCCAUUGAUAGUCAGCAUCAUCAGAGUAAUCCAAGUCCCUGUUGGAGUCAGUCAGAGCAUUUCCAUAGAGAGCCACUUUGCAUCAGCAGCACCAUGCUCCAGUGCUCUGGGAGAGUUUAUAGUCCUGAGAGUUGAACACUGGAUGACUGACAGCUGUCCUUCAUGACAACAGAAGCCACAGAAAUCCUCCUCAUCAAAAACAUGACUUUGAUCUCCGUCCUCAUCUGGACUCUCCUCUGCUGCUGCUUCACAGAGUCCAGAGGUCAGGUCACAGUGACUCAGCCUGGAGCAGUGAGCUCUGCUGUGGGAGGCUCUGUCACCAUCACAUGUAGGACCAGUCAGAAUGUUUAUAACUCUAACUACUUAGCCUGGUACCAACAGAGAGAUGGAGAAACUCCUAAACUGCUCAUUUACUCUGCCAGCACUCGAGAAUCAGGGAUUCCAGGUCGUUUUACAGGCAGUGGAUCAAACUCUGACUUCACUCUGACCAUCAGUGGAGUCCAGACUGAAGAUGCAGCAGUUUACUACUGUCAGAGUGCACAUUACAUCAGCAGUCAGUGGUUGUUCACACAGUGAAAAAGCAUCGUACAA